GCCGGGAGGAGGCGGAGGGGAGGCGGAGUGCGGCCGCGGCGCCCUCUGGCGGACGGCAGUGGAUCCGCCUCGCUAACAAAUCCCCGUUCAGGGUUACGGACUGAAUAUCGACACGGAAACCUAAAGCCAUCCUACUGCAGAUCAAUGAAGAAAGAUCAAAAAUAUCAAAACUUGUUCACAAACAAAAAAUGACCCCCUGUGGAUUGCGGAUAAAGAUGCCACCAACACAAACAUAUUCCUGUGAAGAACUCCACAGGCUGACAGCUUGCUGGACAUGCCUCCUAUCAGAAAGGAACUGCCAGCCUUCAGACCCAGAGGAGCAACAGAAUGGUGAAUGUAACAGCACGAAAAGGAGUAGAAAACAAGCAGUGUUCUUUCUCCUUCUGUAACAAUCAGAUUUGUAAUAAUAAUGAUAAGAUUAUUUGCAUUUCAUUUAUACUAAACAAGAAAUUAUUGGCUUUA